UCCCUGGUGGCUCAAUGGUAAAGAAUCUGCCUGCAAUGCAGGAGACCCAGGUUUGAUCCCUGGGUUGGAAA
rnacentral:tRNA from 1 species